rnacentral:rRNA from 1 species
ACGCUGGCGGCGUGCCUAAUACAUGCAAGUAGAACGCUGAAGAGAGGAGCUUGCUCUUCUUGGAUGAGUUGCGAACGGGUGAGUAACGCGUAGGUAACCUGCCUUGUAGCGGGGGAUAACUAUUGGAAACGAUAGCUAAUACCGCAUAACAAUAGGUGACACAUGUCAUUUAUUUGAAAGGGGCAAUUGCUCCACUACAAGAUGGACCUGCGUUGUAUUAGCUAGUAGGUGAGGUAACGGCUCACCUAGGCGACGAUACAUAGCCGACCUGAGAGGGUGAUCGGCCACACUGGGACUGAGACACGGCCCAGACUCCUACGGGAGGCAGCAGUAGGGAAUCUUCGGCAAUGGGGGCAACCCUGACCGAGCAACGCCGCGUGAGUGAAGAAGGUUUUCGGAUCGUAAAGCUCUGUUGUAAGUCAAGAACGAGUGUGAGAGUGGAAAGUUCACACUGUGACGGUAGCUUACCAGAAAGGGACGGCUAACUACGUGCCAGCAGCCGCGGUAAUACGUAGGUCCCGAGCGUUGUCCGGAUUUAUUGGGCGUAAAGCAAGCGCAGGCGGUUUGAUAAGUCUGAAGUUAAAGGCUGUGGCUCAACCAUAGUUCGCUUUGGAAACUGUCAAACUUGAGUGCAGAAGGGGAGAGUGGAAUUCCAUGUGUAGCGGUGAAAUGCGUAGAUAUAUGGAGGAACACCGGUGGCGAAAGCGGCUCUCUGGUCUGUAACUGACGCUGAGGCUCGAAAGCGUGGGGAGCGAACAGGAUUAGAUACCCUGGUAGUCCACGCCGUAAACGAUGAGUGCUAGGUGUUGGAUCCUUUCCGGGAUUCAGUGCCGCAGCUAACGCAUUAAGCACUCCGCCUGGGGAGUACGACCGCAAGGUUGAAACUCAAAGGAAUUGACGGGGGCCCGCA